rnacentral:rRNA from 1 species
UACGUAGGGUGCGAGCGUUGUCCGGAAUUAUUGGGCGUAAAGGGCUCGUAGGCGGUUUGUCGCGUCGGGAGUGAAAACCUCGGGCUUAACUCGGGGCUUGCUUUCGAUACGGGCAGACUGGAGGUAUGCAGCGGAGAACGGAAUUCCUGGUGUAGCGGUCAAAUGCGCAGAUAUCAGGAGGAACACCGGUGGCGAAGGCGGUUCUCUGGGCAUGACCUGACGCUGAGGAGCGAAAGUGUGGGGAGCGAACAGG